rnacentral:lncRNA from 1 species
UCGAUUUUGGCCGAUCUCUACUCAAUCCACACCCUUUCUUUACUUUAGUUGCCUCGGAUUUUCUCACCCACAAAGGAUGACGGUGGCUGCAAGGUAUGACAAAGGAAAGGAAGAAGAAUGGAGGCUCUACUCACCAACACAUGGCUGGACUCUUUCUCUUUCACUUCUCUCCUGCGGUUACCUUCUCUCCCUUUCAAAACCAC